UACGAGGAGCCCGAGCGUUAUCCGGAUUUACUGGGCGUAAAGGGUGUGUAGGGGGUCUUAUUAGUCUCUUGUUAAAAACCGGCGCUCAACGCCGGAGAUGCGGGAGAAACGGUAAGACUUGGAGUGUGCCAGAGGCAAGCGGAACUCACGGUGUAGGGGUGAAAUCCGUUGAUAUCGUGGGGAACACCAAAGGCGAAGGCAGCUUGCUGGGGCACUACUGACCCUGAAACACGAAAGCGUGGGGAUCAAAAAGG
rnacentral:rRNA from 1 species